AGUUAGGACAGUCUUAAAGGGAGAGUUCACAGGCAUAAACACAAUGAAGCCUACAGCAAUAAAAUUAGCAUAGCAUCUUAAUUCAAAAGCUUAGGCCAGCAAUGAAAGUUGAACAUGGUGGAAGGGGAAGAAGUUUUAGUUAACAUUUAGAAGUCCCACAUCGAGUAUUUCAUGAAAGAAAUAAUUCUAUAUAAUCUUCUGACAAGGCUGCCAGCUUGCCGAGCUGGGUAACUUCAACUUGUAACUCAAGUGGGGGCAUGAAGGUGAUGGAACAUGGCUUAGGAUUUGCCAGGUUGGGUUGGUGGCUGCACCAUGCCGGCCUGCCCGCUCCAAGUUGAGAGUUGGGCCAAUGGGACCUAGGCGAAGGCUUGAGUCUCCUUGGUCCUAGACCUAGACUGGAGGGCACUGUGUGAGGCUGGUUUCACAGAGCAGCAAACACCUCCGGCUCUUGACAGUGAGUGGAGGGAUAACUGGCCGCUGCACUUCUAGCCCAAUAUGCCUGGUGAGCCUAGCCACUUGAACCACAACUUUUUU
rnacentral:lncRNA from 1 species